GACCGCGUCUCCUAAUUGGUAAUACUCUCCGUUCAUAGCGGAUGAGAUGUAGGUUCGAAUCCUACCACGGUCA
rnacentral:tRNA from 1 species